rnacentral:rRNA from 1 species
UUCCAGACUCCUACGGGAGGCAGCAGUGAGGAAUAUUGGUCAAUGGCCGAGAGGCUGAACCAGCCAAGUCGCGUGAGGGAAGACGGCCCUACGGGUUGUAAACCUCUUUUGUCGGGGAGCAAAGCGAGUCACGUGUGACUCAUUGAGAGUACCCGAAGAAAAAGCAUCGGCUAACUCCGUGCCAGCAGCCGCGGUAAUACGGAGGAUGCGAGCGCUAUCCGGAUUUAUUGGGUUUAAGGGGUGCGCAGGCGGAGGCACAAGUCAGCGGUAAAAUCGCGGGGCUCAACCCCGCUCCGCCGUUGAAACUGUGUCCCUUGAGUGCGCGAAGGGUAGGCGGAAUGCGUGGUGUAGCGGUGAAAUGCAUAGAUAUCACGCAGAACUCCGAUCGCGAAGGCAGCCUACCGGCGCCAGACUGACGCUGAGGCACGAAAGCGUGGGGAUCGAACAGGAUUAGAUACCCCCGUA